rnacentral:rRNA from 1 species
UACGAAGGGGGCUAGCGUUGCUCGGAAUCACUGGGCGUAAAGGGUGCGUAGGCGGGUCUUUAAGUCAGGGGUGAAAUCCUGGAGCUCAACUCCAGAACUGCCUUUGAUACUGAAGAUCUUGAGUGCGGGAGAGGUGAGUGGAACUGCGAGCGUAGAGGUGAAAUUCGUAGAUAUUCGCAAGAACACCAGUGGCGAAGGCGGCUCACUGGCCCGAUACUGACGCUGAGGCACGAAAGCGUGGGGAGCAAACAGG